AGAGGAUGAUGGCUUUUUCUCAUUGUAGUCUGUGGACGUCCUUGGGGAGAGUGUCAAUAAUAUCAGUGGCUUAGCUGAUGCCCGGAG